UUUACCAGAUUUAUUCACUGCACCAUGGACUUGGUGCGUGUAAGUGUAUAUUUUUUAUCUUUCAUACAUCUGUUUUCACUUUGCACUUUCAAUGAGCUGUAGCAGACAAUAGUGAGAGAAACAUCUGAAAAUGCAAGGAGACACAGUUGCAUAUGUGUUUCAUUUCUGCGGGUUAGUCGGAGAAAACAACAAAAGGACAGCUGGAAGGGGGGGAAUAAAGCACACACUUACAAAGGGGAUUGUGACCCUGUAAGAGGGAAAGGCGAGUACAACGAAAAAAGACUGCAAAAAGUAAGGAGGAACAGUAGAAAUAAAGCAGGAAAGUGUGUCAGGGAAAACUGCUCAAGAACAAGAAUUCAAAAGCCCGUCCCGCUGGAUGUUCCCCAACCUUCUUUAAAAGGAGAGUUAGGGAAAAGACAGCUCGGUCCGGAUAAACAAACUGGGAUGACGCACCUGCCGAAAAUGUGUAUCUGAUCUGUCUUCACAGAUGUGUGUGUUUAUCCAUCUAUACAUUUAUAAUGGGGGGAUCUAGAGCAUCCCAACACUAAUUACAAUCGUGCGUCGAAGAGAUGAACAACAGGAAUUGAAAUUAAAAUAUUUGAAAUAUUUGAAAUUGAAAGAAAUACAUAACUGAACAAUUAACAGUAAUGUUCAACCUUUCUGGUUAAAGUUAAAUUUAGAGGUGCAUUUGAGAUUAAUCUAUUUGAAAAGAUUCUUGAUAAAAAUCCCUUCAAUAUCACUUACUAUGUACUCUAAACGCUUGAUGGGCAUGAGAAGAUACAAGUGCUCCCUCACUAUGGCAAGAAGAUGCUGGAUGCUCUCUGAUAUUGCUGUUCCACAUGCUACAGUUGACAAGAUCCCUGUAUUAUCUGUUCUAUUUUAAAGGCCUGACAAUCUGCCUUAUGCACAGAUGAGAAAGUGUCUGAAGGCAAGCUCAGGUAUGGUCUCCAGAAAACAAACUUAUUGUGAAGACUUCAUCCCUGAACUUUGUCCAUGAUGUCCAAAGAAUGGAUGUGCGGGCUCUUCUCCACCUGUAAAAAGGGAAAUGACAAUACCCCAACAAUCACACCUUUUCAUAUCUUCUUCCUCAUGGAUGCUGCUUGAGCUGUGGAUAGACUCAGCCAUACAAUAUAGUAGUUCAUGCAGAGACCAAGAAAAUCAUCACACCUAGACAUUUGAAACUAUAUAUAUAUGAGAGCUCUUCCACAUAUUUUUGCAAUGACGUGGAGAGAAACAACUUAUCGUGUUUACAAAAUUAACUCUUAAUAGUUAAAACUAAGACAUUGCGAACACUACCUACCUGCAUUUGAAUAUCAUCUGUACUUAUGCUUACUUUGGGCUCAGUCAUUUAAUCUGCACAGUGGAUAUUUUUCAUUAAUAGCUAUGUCCAGUAAGCAGCUGCAUGUCUGUGCAAAAUAUAGUAAACUAUACUUCCUGUAUUUCAUGUCAAAGCAAACAUAAAUAAAGAGAGGAAUUUUUCUUAUUCCAGCAUUUGCAGUUCUGAUAGGACAUAAGGCUAACAAACUCAAAGUGGAAAAAAGAAUUUGAAGAA